UAGCCUAGUGGUUAAGGCUAUGGAUCGCCAAUCUGGAGACGGCGGGUUCGAUUCCCGU
rfam:Aedes albopictus isolate Foshan contig91126, whole genome shotgun sequence.